rnacentral:rRNA from 1 species
UACACGCUGUGACUAGCAUAUCAAUAAGCGGAGGAAAAGAAACUAACAAGGAUUCCCUUAGUAACGGCGAGUGAAGCGGGAAGAGCUCAAAUUUGAAAUCUUGCAAGGUUUACCUUGACGAAUUGUAGUUUAAAGAAGUGUUUCUGCUGUAAGUUUGGUAAUAAGUUCUUUGGAAUAGGACAUCAUAGAGGGUGAGAAUCCCGUAUGAUUGACCGAUUAUUGUCAGCCUUGUGAUACACUUUCAAAGAGUCGGAUUGUUUGGGAAUGCAGUCCAAAAUGGGUGGUAAAUUUCAUCUAAAGGCUAAAUAUUGGCGAGAGACCGAUAGCGAACAAGUACCGUGAGGGAAAGAUGAAAAGAACUUUGAAAAGAGAGUUAAAUAGUACGUGAAAUUGUCAAAAGGGAAGCGUUUAACACCAGUGUUGUUUUCUGAAAAUCAACCUCUGUUAGCUUUAUGCAUGUUUGUUUAGACCUAAUCAGCUAUCUUUCAUGUUCUAUUGUUUGCAGUGGUGCACUUUUCAGUUUACAGGUCAACAUCAGUUUUUUUUACCGUAAAAAAGUUAAAGAAAGGUAGCUCAUGGCUCCGGUCGUGAGUGUUAUAGUCUUUUUCCUAUGCGGUAGGAGAGACUGAGGUCUGCAGUGUAGGCUAUUUGGCUAGAUACUCAGGUGCUAUGUGAUACCAUUUCAUAAACAACUUGUUGAUUAUGUUUUGUCUAUUGCAUACUCGCUUGUACUAUCAUACCUACGCUUAGGAUGUUGAGUAGCGACAUACGCAC